rnacentral:rRNA from 1 species
AUUGAACGCUGGCGGCAGGCUUAACACAUGCAAGUCGAACGAGUGGCGGACGGGUGAGUAAUGCUUGGGAAUCUGGCUUAUGGAGGGGGAUAACGACGGGAAACUGUCGCUAAUACCGCGUACCAUAGGAUGAGCCCAAGUGGGAUUAGGUAGUUGGUGGGGUAAUGGCCUACCAAGCCGACGAUCUCUAGCUGGUCUGAGAGGAUGACCAGCCACACCUGGUAUGAGAUACCGCCCGGGAUCCUACGGGAGGCAGGAGGGGGGGAUAUGGCGCAAUGGGGGGAACGUGACGCAGCCAUGCCGGCGUAAUGAAGAAGGCCUUCGGGUUGGAAAGUUCUUGCUGUGACGAGGCGGUAAUCACAGAAGAAGCACCGGCUAACUCCGUGCCAGCAGCCGCGGUAAUUC